CAUAAUCUGAAGGUCGUGAGUUCG
rnacentral:piRNA from 5 species